CAGGAAGCCCUUGGCCCUGGGUUUCCCGGGAGGACAGUCAUUAAACAUGGAUUCAGCCACACAGCUGGUAGAGCGUUGGGGGCAGGGACCAGGUUCCAGGAGCUGCAACCCCAGCCCUUCUCAGGCCAGAUCCUGAUCCCUGGCCUUCCCUGCAUAUUUCUGAUCUCUCUCACCCUUUUUCAGGGCUCCACGCUGGCCGGGAGGAUGAAAGGCCCCAGCUGGGGGCUCCUUGCCACCAGCGCUGGGUCCUAAGAGCUGCCAUCCAGGCUGGGUGAGUGUCCCCUGCCUUUCUCUGUCCCAGCACUCUUUGGCUUCUCCCAUAUUUUUUCAGCCCUUAUCUCCUCCCAUCUUGUGCCUCUGCCAACAUCUUCACAUCUUGAUUCUGGGUAGGUUUAAGCCCCUUCCUGUAGCCAAAAAGGUGUAUACUAUGGUGGGGGUGGGAGGGAGCUGUUGAGAUGUUAUAGAGCUGGUGUUAUCUUAUGCAAAGAAUCUAUUCUAAAAAUAAAAUUUCCUUGUUUUACAUUUAAUUUGGCAUAUAACAAAUUCAGUGUCCAGCCCCUAAUGCCCUGGCCCUAUGACAUAAUUUAAAUCCCUUGUUUCUUGCUCUUUGGUGCCCAGGGGUCUCUGAUCAUACCUCCUCCCCCACCUCAUCUUACUGAGUUGGACAAACCAAAAACACCCCUUCUGGGCCUCUCUAUAUUUCAUGUAUUCAUGCCAGUCUUUCAUCCUUGCCCCUUACAGCCGCCCGGAUGGCGACCCCAGCCUCGGCCCCAGACACACGGGCUCUGGUGGCCGACUUUGUAGGCUAUAAGCUGAGGCAGAAGGGUUAUGUCUGUGGAGCUGGCCCUGGGGAGGGCCCAGCAGCUGAUCCACUGCACCAAGCCAUGCGGGCAGCUGGAGAUGAGUUCGAGACCCGCUUCCGGCGCACCUUCUCUGAUCUGGCAGCUCAGCUGCAUGUGACCCCGGGUUCAGCUCAGCAACGCUUCACCCAGGUCUCUGACGAACUUUUCCAAGGGGGUCCCAACUGGGGUCGUCUUGUGGCCUUCUUUGUCUUUGGGGCUGCCCUGUGUGCUGAGAGUGUCAACAAAGAGAUGGAGCCACUGGUGGGACAAGUGCAGGAGUGGAUGGUGGCCUACCUGGAGACGCGGCUGGCUGACUGGAUCCACAGCAGUGGGGGCUGGGUAAGAAGUUUCUCAAAUGCUGCUCUGCACAUCCCUCUGCAAAGCUGUUCUCCAGGGGGAAUAUGGGGGCUCUGAUUGGAGGCUGGGACAGCUGUGCUGGGAAGGAGGCAUGGGGCUGAAUUCUCCUAUUUAGGUGGAGUCAGACUGAGGUUCCCUCACCGAGCAUCACAUUGGACUCUGUACUCCAGGGCUGCCAUACAGUUAUCACUGCAUGGGCUUAUGGUCCCAAGCAAAGGACAGAAUACACAGUACCCAAGAAGUGCCUGCAGGGAAAGGUGUUACACCUGAGUAUAUGGCACGAGAGGUGGGGAGGAUCAGGGAUGGGUGGUGGUCAGGCAAGCCUUGGCAAAGGAUGCCAGUUCUAAGCAGAAUUUUUCAUCAAGGAAAGGAUGAGGCAGUGAGUGCAAGUGAGCCAGGCACUGGGGCAGAGGGGCUGCACAUGGGGGGAUCAGAGGGCUUGCAGUUGGUAGAGCUUUGGCUGGAGAGGAGCUGGGUAUGGGAUAGUGCUCGCAGUGGAUGGAACUGGAACUCUUCCUCUCCUCUUCUCUCCACUCUUUCCUCUCCUGAUAUCCCUUUCUCCUUCUUUCUCUCCUACUUCCCUUCUCUCCCACAGGCGGAGUUCACAGCUCUAUACGGGGACGGGGCCCUGGAGGAGGCACGGCGUCUGCGGGAGGGGAACUGGGCAUCAGUGAGGACAGUGCUGACGGGGGCCGUGGCACUGGGGGCCCUGGUAACUGUAGGGGCCUUUUUUGCUAGCAAGUGAGAAAGUUCAGGGCCAGGUGGGGCUAGGUGUGGCUGGGGGCCAGGAGAGCAGGAACAGAGAACAAGAAGUGAAGUGAAUGGUUGGGCAUGGAACAGGGAAGGGGAGAGGUAGCAUGUGAGGGAACCAAGUGUGCCAGGCAGGUGAUUGGAAGAGUGAGCUACAGUUAUUAAGGAGUUUUAAGAAAAUCAGAGGACCAGGAGAUGGAGUCAUUCCAGGGUUUGGGGGGAGGUGGGAGGGAUCAUGCCUAUAGGUAUGGGCACAUGAAACUACCCAGAGAUGAAUUUGCAGCGCUGAGGAAGGUGGACUUGCAUAAGGAGUUGUGUCUCCCCUGGAUAAGUGGGUUUUGGGGAACUAGAAGGCAUAUCCCUUUGGAAUGGAAGCUUAGGGUUCUCAGGUGAUUGGGAGAGGUGGCUGUGGCUGUGGGCUGCUUGGACACAAGUGUGCAUGUGCACGGGUACUCGUGUGCAUGCUGGGCUGUUUGUCUAAUCUGGAGGUGGUUCAGAUUCUUCAAGGAGAAAACAUUCCCUUUUGCAGUGGCAAGAACAAGGGACAGUUCUCUGCCCCUCCUCCCAAACCCUCUUUUCCCUUCCCCUUGUCCAGAUGCCUCAAGGCUGAAGGAGAAACACUGUAUCCAGACGGAGGGCUCUGGCACUUCUCAGCAGAAAGUUGUUGGUAGGGCUUUGGAGAGAAAGCAAUUCUGCAGCUGGCCUUGUUCCUUCAUUACCCAUUUUCCUGUGCAUCAUGAACUUCCUGCUGCCUCCUGGGCUCUGACAGAAGUGCAGGGCUCUGGAGCAUGGGCAGGUGAAGGCUUCUUCAGUAGCUGGAUAUGCCUGCCACCCUCCCCUCCCACUGGGGCACAAUGGUGCCUAAUAGCUCUGGGACCUCUGUACCCAAACUGAAACUCUAAAUUGGGGCUCAAUUUUCCUUUUGAGGAUGUAGACAUAAAUGCUGAUCUAGAAUAUAGUCUGGGUCCCACACUGUUUCUCAGUGAGACUGUUGAUUCCUUGAAAAGACCAUUCUAGCUUGAGCCCUGUGGGGUGAGGGUGACAGGUACUCUAUGACUGGGCCUAUUCUGUGUUGUGGGCUUUGGUGCUGCUUUAUUAGGGGCAGGUGUAUGGGUUUGAGAGUACCUACCACGAUCUGGAAGCAUUUAUAUUUCAUUGAAGCCACGCUGUUUGCAUGGGUGUUGUUUGUCUGUACCUCAGAGUCUGAGGAUGCUAACUUUAGAACUCACAGUCCUCUAGAACAGAUUCAGGCUAUAGCUUUUUCUUUUAAAGAAGAAAUGAUUCACUCCAGAUGCAUGUCCUGAGCCAGACCUCACUGCUGCACUUUCCAAGGUGCUAAAAUUUGCUGCUCUCCAAUGCUGACUUCAUUCACAGUGCUCUAGAACCCUGCCCAUAAUCCUGAGCACUGAUCAGUUUAGCUAGACAUGGUUGACUCUUCUUGGAGAUUUUUACUUGGUCCCAGAAUAUGGCAACAUGGAUGUGUUUGUUAGAAAGUGGGACCAAAUUGGCCUCAGGUGUUUAGUCCAGACUUUUGCUUUUGAGAGAGGGCUGCACUUUUUAAUGGUCUCUAUGGGGGAGGUGGUAGACUGCAUAUGCCACUUGGUCUGUUGUGAGUAUGCUGAUAUUAGAAACUCAGAGCUGGUCUAUGGCAGGCAGUUGGGGUGGGGGGUCUGACUUGCUCAGGACUAACUAGGCCAGUGGUUUUCAAACUGCUUGGCAGAGCCCCAAAGUAUCCUAGGGGUUGCCUCAGGAGUCCUUGGGGAGAUGAAGGGGAUGGGGGCUGAGCAGGCUGGGCAACUUGCCCUCAAACAGAACAGCUCCUCUUGUAGCUGUCUUACAUACCGGGGUUCAGGGUAAGAUUUUAUUUGCAUUAAGGGUUUUGCUGCUGAAAAAUAAAAGUUGGAAAACCACUGACUAGACCAUCAGCUCCAAAUUGGAGCCUGUGCUCCCCAAGGUUUGGGGCAGACUCUUCACUCUACCCACUACCACAAGAUACUUAUCUGUGUUAGCAUUCCUGGGGGGCUUUAGCAAACUGGGGCAGCAGGGACCAUGAUCAGGUUACCAAAGUGCCCCAUUCUGAGGCCUUCACACCUGGGUGGAAGGAGAGGCUUUUUUAUGAAAGGGUAAAGGGCUUGGUCUGGAUUCCCAAAAGCAGAGCUUGGAUGAGAUCACAGUGGGCAGUUUUGACCUGUUUUGCCCUUCUUAGUUUGAGGAGCAGUGGAAACCCCAGAGACUCUUCUGUCAGGGAAAACUAGGGACUCUCUUCUAGAGCCAUAUAGUUCCUUGGGAUUAGCUCUUGGCCAAGAAGGCUGAGUAUGGCUCCCAGUUUUUAAAUUCAUUUAUUUUUUUUUAAUGAGGAAAAUAAAUGUAAUGGCCAUUUUUCAAAGAUUAAAUAGGUGGAGAGGGUGUUUCUUGCUCUCCAGAGCCCAAAGGGACAAAUAGGGACUUUGCUUAGGCCAAGGAAGGACUGGAAGUAGGGCAACUGGGUCCUGCGAUUAUUAAUUGUACUCCCCACUUAUUGUAGGGCAUACAUACACUAUUUUACUUUUUUAAAAUCAUAAAACGGCAGGAGAACAGAUUUGGUUAGUUUAGAAGAAAAGAAAAAGCUCUAUAAAUAUAAAUAUAUAUUCCUGUAUUUUUAUUUAAUAAUUUAUAAAUAUCAAGUUCAUUUGACUUUUAUUUUUGUGUAAUAUGUAAUGGUCGUAUUAAAAAAAUAAAUAAAGCCCAGAAGUUUAAUGAGAAGGACUGAACAGGGUUUUGUGACUUUAUACUGUAUAACUGGGGUCAGAACAUUCCUCGAUCCAAUCAUCUGUUCGUGAUAUUGCUAAGGGCAAGAAUUAGAGUUAUAGGGUUUUGGGAAACUGUUGAGAUUAAAAAAAAAAAAAUCAGAGUUGUUCUACCAUCUUCCUCACCCCACCCCUAUUCUGGUCAAGUACCCAAAGCCAAGAACUCCAUCUAUCCCAACCCAAGCUUCAAGAGGGUGUAGGUAUAUGGUACUUUGGGACCGCCACAAACAAAAAAUCAAAACAAAGAAAACCUCCCUAAAAUCUUUAUGCAAAAUCAACUCCCCAGCUAUUGUUUGGCCUCAAAUCAGAAGUGUGUGAUAAUGAUCCUUUCUCACUGAUGCCUACUUCAGAUUUAGAAUAUAUCUAUCAGAAAUGGAGCUCCUGCUUUCUUGUCUAGUCCCCAGAGAUAUUUGGUUUCAGCCAUUUCACUGCAAACUGCUAAUUGGAUGGAAUCUCCAGGAUUAUUCAGUCCAUUCCCCUCUGUACCUCUAGUUAGGACCACAUCAGAAUCAUUUCUGACAGGAACCGUGAUUUUAAUUUUAAAUUUCAAAUGGAAAUUUCUGAUCUUUCUAUAUCCCAGUGCAAUAAAUUGAUGUUUGGGUUUAUGUGUUAAAUUGUGAGAAAUAAUUGCUUAGAGGAAUCUAGUAUUGCCUUUCUACUCUCUCCCUAUAGGAAAAUCUACAAAAGAAGCUGUAGGAAAAUCAGAGAGUAGCCUGGUGAAUACAUACUAAGAAAAAGGAAAUUAGAUAUUCUUAAUAUCAUCAGGUAUGAUAGCUAGUGCUUCUAUCUGUGCUGCAGUGUGUUUUAUAUUUACCUAGUUCCAAAUAAUUUUGAAACAUUUUAAUAUACAAAAGAAAAAACAAAGAGAAAAUAAAAUUAUUUUUAAGUAUGGGUAAAGGGAAAAUUGAAAUAUUAUAGUGAAUUUAAGUAAAAGGAAAAUUAAUACACAGAAGAACAUCCUAUAAGUAGUAUUCCCAAAUACAAAAGCCAGGCUAUGAAUUUGGCUCUCAGCUUGGCAGCCAAAGCAAACUGAAAAAUAUAAUGAGGUUCACAUUCCUUUUAGGACUUAAAAACCAAUCAGUAGGGCUGGGGUUGUGGCUCAAGUGGUAGAGUGCUCACCUAGCAUGGGUGAGGUACUGGGUUCGAUCCUCAGCACCACAUAAAAAUAAAAUAAAGAUAUUGUAUCCAACUUAAAAAAAAAAAUCAGUUACUCAAGAAGAGCAAAAAGUUCUGUGAUUUUUCCAAGAAUACAACUGGUGAUAUGGUUGACACCAUUCUUUAUAAUACCUAACAGCAAAUAUGAUGUUGAAUUCUAUACCACUAUUUCCUCUAGAAACACAAACAGGGAUUUAGAAGGUCUAUCAGGCUCAUAACAGUUUAGCCACAUAUGCUGCUUUAUGAUGGUCUGAUUUAGUUAGGGUUAAACUUCAGUCUAUCCAAAGGACAGAUGGACUGUGUUUCCUUCAGACAGUUCUCCAUAAGUGCUAUUUCUCCAAAUGGCACUUCAGUUAAAGUCAAGCAACAUUUAGUUAUAAUUUUUAGCAAAUGGAUUAACUGUAGAUAUUCUGUUAUCACUUAAUAGUAAGUAGGUCCUUUGAAAACUUAAAAGACUGCCUUAAAUGUGAACAUAGGUGAAAUAUAUAAAUAUAUUAACUUUUAAAACUCAACCAGAAAACAUAAUAGAGUGCUAUGCAGUUGUUUUUUCAUUCAUCAUUCAUUCACACAGAGCAAAUGUUUAAGCAUCUUCUGUGUGGGAAGCACAGUUCUAGGCACUGAGGUAAAGUAAACAGACAGACUCAGAUCUCUACCUGCAUGUUGCUAACAUUCUAGGGAAGGAAUAAAAAAUGAACAAAAUUCCAUAAUAUUUUAGAAGGUGAUCAAUUCUAUAAAGAAAAAUAAUUGAAGGAUGAUGGAAAUAUGUUUGUAGAUAUUCUUACACUUUAAUUAAUAAAAUUUCAAUCUUAAUUAAUUUUAAUUUAGAAAUUAAAAUACUAGAGAUUAAACCCAGAGGCACUUUACCAUUGAGAUACCUCCGUAAUUCUUUUUAUUUUUUAUUUUGAAACAGAGUCUCACUAGGUUACCCAGUCUGUCCUCAAACUUGCAAUCCUCUUGCCUCAGCCUCUGAAUAGAUGGGAUUAUAGGUGUGUGCCACUGGGCCUAGCUAGAUUUUAAUUUUAAAGAGUGGUCAGACAAGCCCCUAUUUUCUAAAGGGAUAAUUUUUAAGUAAAAACAUGAAAAAUAAAAUUAGAGAAAUAUAUUAUUGAAAUGGAAAGAUGUUUCUGUAUUUUAUUGCAUAAAAAAGAGUAUCUGUGGACUGGGAUUGUGGUUCAAUGGUAGAGCAUUUGCCUAGCACGUGCAAGGUGUUGGGUUCGAUCCUCAUCACCACUUAAAAAUAAAUAAAUAAAUAAAGACUAUCUGUUAGAAAAUAACAUCAUAUGAUAUGAUCCUUUUUUUUUCUUUUUUGUAGUGCUGGGGAUUGAACCCAGGGCCUUGUGCAUGCGAGGCAAGCACUCUACCAGCUGAGUUAUAUCCCUAGCCCACUGAUCCCAUUUUGGAAAAAUAUAUGUGUAUGUAUGUGCCUCUUUGUAUUUAUAGUUUGAACAUUUUAGGAAGAGUAUAUGUUAAGAUAUCAGUAGUGAUUAUCUUUGGGUGGCAGAUUUUAUGAGUGAUUUUUGUUCUUUUUGCUAUCAGUAUUUUCUGAUGUUUUGAUGAUGAACAUACACAUAUGGUGCAUUAAAGCUAGUAUUUCAGUUUCAAAGUUUUAAAAAAGUUAACCAGUCAGAAUGGAAAUUAAGCAGUCCUGCAUAGGUUCCUUCACAUUUAAAUGGACAGCCCCCAACUAUCAAGGACAGAGCUAGGGAGUUGAGAUAUGAAGACCAUACCAUGGUAGAAGAUAAUUGGGAACUGCUAUAAAAGAGAGGUAAGUAAAAAUAAAGGUUUCAAAGUUCUGUUAGCAAUGUCCAAUAGAAAUAAGAUACAAGCCACAGAUGUAGUUUUCUGUGAUCUACUAACCUCAUUAAAACUACAAAAAAGAAACAGGUAAAACUAAUUGUAAUAGUAUUUUAUUUAGCCCAUGUAUUAAAAAUAUUAUAAUUCCAAUAUUAAUAUUAAAUAACUAUUAAUAAGUUAUUUCAUAUACUCUUUUUCAUACAAAGUUAUAAUAUUUUGGUAUAGUUUACAUUUUCAGCACAUCUCACCUACACAUUUCAAUUGCUCCAUAGCCACAUAUGACUAGUGACUACCAUAUUAAACAAUGUUAUUCUAGAUCAUAGAUUAUUAUAGUCUGUGAAAAUUUCAAAGCAAAUAUUAAAAGUAGGUAUGAGACUACCCAGAAACCAAAUAUUUAUGUUAUCUACUGACAAAACUUUUCCCUUUUGAACAGAACUAGAGAUAUCUUCACCCAUUUUUACCAUUUAAUUAUCCUUUUCUCAACUCCACUGACCUCUCCUUCUAUUAACACAUUUUUUUCCCCCUCUUCUGGAUGGGGCACUGGAAUUUCAGUUUUUUCCAAAACUAUCAUCCUUUAUUUAUAGCUUAUAACUUAAGGAGAAGAAUGCUCAUAAUGAUGAAACUCUUAACAUUACAUAUGAAUUCUUAAAAAUUUAUUUCAGAGAAAAACUCCUUGAUAGUCUCUUCAUCAACAUGAGGCAAAAUAUUAAAUAGGUUCAUUCAUUCAGUUAACAUUUAUAUAGUACAGAAUGAUAGGCAAAGGGAAUACAAAUAUAAUUAAGAUAUCCCUUUUACCACUUAGAAUCUCAUAGGGAAAGAGAAAUCACAUUCAAAUAUCCUUUUUUUAAAUUGAUUUUUUCAUACACAUGUUUUUAGUUGUUGAUGGACCUUUAUUUUAUACAUUUAUUUAUAGGUGGUGCUGAGAAUUGAACCCAGUUCCUCACACAUGCUAGGCAAGCACUCUACCAUUGAGCCACAACUCCAGCCCUCAAAUAUCCUUUUCAAUGUGUUUGUUUCUUUGAUAAAGUAAUCAUGCUUAUUAGAAAAAGAGUGCAAGUUGGAGCAAUUUUUUAAAAUUAUGUGUUAAUUUUGAAAAAUCAUAACGGAAAAUUAUAAAGCAGAAAAUUAGCUGGGUGUGGCGAUGCAUGCAUGUAAUCCUAGUGGCAGGAAAGUCACAAAUUCAAAGACAGCCGCAGCAAUUGAACAAGGCUCUAAGCAACUUAGCAAGACCUCGUCUCAAAAUAAAUGAAGAAAAGAGCUGGGGAUGUGGCUCAGUGGGUGAGUGCUGCUGGGUUCAAUCCUUGGUUCCAAAAAAAUAAAACAAAACGAAGAAAAUUAAUCAUAAUUCUACUACCAGAGAGAACUACUACUAACAUUUUGGUUUAUUUCUUUCCAGUCUCUUAUCUGUGGUUUUGUGAUCAUACUGCACAUAUAAUUUUGUAUAUAAUUCUGCUUACUAUUAUAUUGCAAGCAUUUUUCCUUGUCAUUAAAACAUUUUCAAGGCCUAAUGACUAUAUAAAAUUACAUA
rnacentral:lncRNA from 1 species